UCUGUGGAUUAAAGGUGGCUUUCGGGCUGUCGCAGAUGGAUGAGCCUGCGUUGGAUUAGCUAGUUGGUGGGGUAAGGGCCCACCAAGGCUACGAUCCAUAGCUGAUUUGAGAGGAUGAUCAGCCACAUUGGGACUGAGACACGGCCCAAACUCCUACGGGAGGCAGCAGUGGGGAAUAUUGGACAAUGGGGGCAACCCUGAUCCAGCAAUGCCAUGUGUGUGAAGAAGGCCCUAGGGUUGUAAAGCACUUUAGUUGGGGAGGAAAGCCUCAAGGUUAAUAGCCUUGGGGGAGGACGUUACCCAAAGAAUAAGCACCGGCUAACUCCGUGCCAGCAGCCGCGGUAAUACGGGGGGUGCAAGCGUUAAUCGGAAUUACUGGGCGUAAAGGGUCUGUAGGUGGUUUGUUAAGUCAGAUGUGAAAGCCCAGGGCUCAACCUUGGAACUGCAUUUGAUACUGGCAAACUAGAGUACGGUAGAGGAAUGGGGAAUUUCUGGUGUAGCGGUGAAAUGCGUAGAGAUCAGAAGGAACACCAAUGGCGAAGGCAACAUUCUGGACCGAUACUGACACUGAGGGACGAAAGCGUGGGGAUCAAACAGGAUUAGAUACCCUGGUAGUCCACGCUGUAAACGAUGAGUACUAGCUGUUGGAGUCGGUGUAAAGGCUCUAGUGGCGCAGCUAACGCGAUAAGUACUCCGCCUGGGGACUACGGCCGCAAGGCUAAAACUCAAAGGAAUUGACGGGGACCCGCACAAGCGGUGGAGCAUGUGGUUUAAUUCGAUGCAACGCGAAGAACCUUACCUGGUCUUGACAUCCUGCGAACUUUCUAGAGAUAGAUUGGUGCCUUCGGGAACGCAGUGACAGGUGCUGCACGGCUGUCGUCAGCUCGUGUUGUGAAAUGUUGGGUUAAGUCCCGCAACGAGCGCAACCCCUAUUGAUAGUUACCAUCAUUAAGUUGGGUACUCUAUUAAGACUGCCGCUGACAAGGCGGAGGAAGGUGGGGACGACGUCAAGUCAUCAUGGCCCUUACGACCAGGGCUACACACGUGCUACAAUGGGUAUUACAGAG
rnacentral:rRNA from 1 species